UCCUGGCUCAGAGUGAACGCUGGCGGCGUGCUUAACACAUGCAAGUCGAACGAGAACGGAUUAUAGCUUGCUAUAAUUGUCAGCUAAGUGGCGCACGGGUGAGUAAUAUAUAGGUAACGUGCCCUAGAGAGGGGGAUAACAGUUGGAAACGAUUGCUAACACCCCAUAUGCCUUUAUCCCAUAAGGGAGCAAGGGAAAUAUUUAUAGCUCUAGGAUCGGCCUGUACAGUAUCAGUUAGUUGGUGAGGUAAUGGCUCACCAAGACAAUGACGCUUAACUGGUUUGAGAGGAUGAUCAGUCACACUGGAACUGAGACACGGUCCAGACUCCUACGGGAGGCAGCAGUGGGGAAUAUUGCACAAUGGACGAAAGUCUGAUGCAGCAACGCCGCGUGGAGGAUGACACAUUUCGGUGCGUAAACUCCUUUUAUAUAGGAAGAUAAUGACGGUACUAUAUGAAUAAGCACCGGCUAACUCCGUG
rnacentral:rRNA from 1 species